rnacentral:rRNA from 1 species
UAUAGAUACCCUGGUAGUCCACGCCGUAAACGAUGAGUGCUAAGUGUUAGAGGGUUUCCGCCCUUUAGUGCUGAAGUUAACGCAUUAAGCACUCCGCCUGGGGAGUACGGCCGCAAGGCUGAAACUCAAAGGAAUUGACGGGGGCCCGCACAAGCGGUGGAGCAUGUGGUUUAAUUCGAAGCAACGCGAAGAACCUUACCAGGUCUUGACAUCCUCUGACAACCCUAGAGAUAGGGCUUCCCCUUCGGGGGCAGAGUGACAGGCGGUGCAUGGUUGUCGUCAGCUCGUGUCGUGAGAUGUUGGGUUAAGUCCCGCAACGAGCGCAACCCUUGAUCUUAGUUGCCAUCAUUCAGUUGGGCACUCUAAGGUGACUGCCGGUGACAAACCGGAGGAAGGUGGGGAUGACGUCAAAUCAUCAUGCCCCUUAUGACCUGGGCUACACACGUGCUACAAUGGACGGUACAAAGAGUCGCGAGACCGCGAGGUGGAGCUAAUCUCAUAAAACCCGUUCUCAGUUCGGAUUGUAGG